rnacentral:rRNA from 1 species
GAUGAACGCUAGCGGGAGGCCUAACACAUGCAAGCCGAGCGGUAGAGUUCCUUCGGGAACUUGAGAGCGGCGUACGGGUGCGUAACACGUGUGCAACCUACCUUUAUCUGGGGGAUAGCCUUUCGAAAGGAAGAUUAAUACCCCAUAAUAUAAUGAUUGGCAUCAAUUAUUAUUGAAAACUCCGGUGGAUAGAGAUGGGCACGCGCAAGAUUAGAUAGUUGGUGAGGUAACGGCUCACCAAGUCAAUGAUCUUUAGGGGUCCUGAGAGGGGGAUCCCCCACACUGGUACUGAGACACGGACCAGACUCCUACGGGAGGCAGCAGUGAGGAAUAUUGGACAAUGGGUGAAAGCCUGAUCCAGCCAUCCCGCGUGAAGGAUGACGGUCCUAUGGAUUGUAAACUUCUUUUGUACAGGGAUAAACCUACUCUCGUGAGGGUAGCUGAAGGUACUGUACGAAUAAGCACCGGCUAACUCCGUG